rnacentral:other from 1 species
ACGACUGGGCAUUGCCCCCAGUUUCCCCCAAAUUUGGGCAUUGUCCCUGGGUCUUCCAACGUACUGGGCGUUGCCCCCGGACACUGCGGACUGCCCCCGGGGUCUCGCUCACCUUCAGCG